rnacentral:tRNA from 1 species
UCAAAAUGUAGUUUAGUAAAAAUAUUAGCUUUGGGAGUUAGGGACAUCUAUUAGAUUUUUUUGAA